rnacentral:rRNA from 1 species
GCGAGAAACCUUUACAAUGUGCGAAAGCAUGAUAAGGGAACUCCGAGUGCCAGUAUCUAAUACUGGCUGUCCUUGUGCCUAAAACGCACAAGAUAGCAAGGGCCGGGUAAGACCGGCGCCAGCCGCCGCGGUAACACCGGCGGCCCGAGUGGUAGCCGCUAUUAUUGGGUCUAAAGGGUCCGUAGCCGGUUCGAUAAGUCCUCUGGGAAAUCUGGUUGCUUAACAAUCAGACUGCCAAGGGAUACUGUCGAACUUGAGACCGGGAGAGGUAAGAGGUACUUCAGGGGUAGGA